UACGAAGGGGGCUAGCGUUGUUCGGAAUUACUGGGCGUAAAGCGCGCGCAGGCGGUCUUCCAAGUCAGUGGUGAAAGCCCGGAGCUCAACUCCGGAACUGCCAUUGAAACUGUGAGACUUGAGGAUGAGAGAGGUGAGCGGAAUUCCCAGUGUAGAGGUGAAAUUCGUAGAUAUUGGGAAGAACACCGGUGGCGAAGGCGGCUCACUGGCUCAUUUCUGACGCUCAGGCGCGACAGCGUGGGGAUCAAACAGG
rnacentral:rRNA from 1 species